rnacentral:rRNA from 1 species
GAGUUUGAUCCUGGCUCAGAUUGAACGCUGGCGGCAGGCCUAACACAUGCAAGUCGAACGGUAACAGGAAGAAGCUUGCUUCUUUGCUGACGAGUGGCGGACGGGUGAGUAAUUUCUGGGAAACUGCCUGAUGGAGGGGGAUAACUACUGGAAACGGUAGCUAAUACCGCAUAACGUCGCAAGACCAAAGAGGGGGACCUUCGGGCCUCUUGCCAUCGGAUGUGCCCAGAUGGGAUUAGCUUGUUGGUGGGGUAACGGCUCACCAAGGCGACGAUCCCUAGCUGGUCUGAGAGGAUGACCAGCCACACUGGAACUGAGACACGGUCCAGACUCCUACGGGAGGCAGCAGUGGGGAAUAUUGCACAAUGGGCGCAAGCCUGAUGCAGCCAUGCCGCGUGUAUGAAGAAGGCCUUCGGGUUGUAAAGUACUUUCAGCGGGGAGGAAGGGAGUAAAGUUAAUACCUUUGCUCAUUGACGUUACCCGCAGAAG